rnacentral:rRNA from 1 species
GACAGAGGGUGCAAACGUUGUUCGGAAUUACUGGGCGUAAAGCGCGUGUAGGUGGCGAGGCAAGUCGGGUGUGAAAGCCCCGGGCUCAACCUGGGAAUUGCAUUCGAGACUGAAUAGCUAGGGUACGGUAGAGGGAAGCGGAAUUUCCGGUGUAGCGGUGAAAUGCGUAGAUAUCGGAAGGAACAUCAGUGGCGAAAGCGGCUUCCUGGACCAGUACCGACGUUCAGGCACGAAAGCGUGGGGAGCAAACAGG